rnacentral:rRNA from 1 species
GGUUGACCUCGGAUCAGGUAGGAAGACCCGCUGA